rnacentral:rRNA from 1 species
UAAUACGUAGGGGCCGAGCGUUGUCCGGAGUUACUGGGCGUAAAGCGCGCGCAGGCGGCUCGUCAAGCCUGACGUGAAAGCCCCCGGCUCAACCGGGGAGGGUCGUCGGGGACUGGCGAGCUUGAGGUCGGCAGGGGCUGGUGGAAUUCCCGGUGUAGUGGUGAAAUGCGUAGAGAUCGGGAGGAACACCCGUGGCGAAGGCGGCCAGCUGGGCCGGACCUGACGCUGAGGCGCGAAGGCGUGGGGAGCGAACGGGAUUAGAUACCCCGGUAGUCCACGCAGUAAACGAUGCAGACUAGGCGUGGGGGGACUUGACCCCCUCCGUGCCGAAGCCAACGCGUGAAGUCUGCCGCCUGGGGAGUACGGCCGCAAGGCUA